AUUUGAUACCCCUAUAGUUGUUGCAGCACUGGAUGUCACCUUUGUUCUUGUACAAGGGCACCACUGUACUCCACCUCCACUCCUCCGGCAUCUUCUUGGUCCCGAAGAUCGCAUUGAACAACCUGGAGAGCCACUCCACUCCUGACCUACCCAUGCAUUUCUAGAACUUUAUCGGGAUCUCGUCAGGCCUGGUCGCUCGACCCCUACUCAUCCUACGCAAAGCGCCCAUGACCUCCUCCGCCCUAAUGCGCCUGCAGUACCUAAGGUCUCUAUGUUGCUCUGA
rnacentral:lncRNA from 1 species